ensembl:snRNA U6 U6 spliceosomal RNA
UUACUUUAGUAGCACAUAUACUAAAAUUGUGGUAAUACAGAGAAGAUUUACAUCAUCCCUGUGCAAUAACAACACACAAAUUUAUGAAAUAUUCUAUGUUUUG